rnacentral:tRNA from 1 species
GGUUUGUAGCUCAGUGGUAGAGUGCUUGCCUAGCAUGUGUGAGGUACUGGGUUUGAUCCUCAGCACCA